AUGGAAAGGCUACCGUUUCUCUCUCUCUCUCUCUCUCUCUCUCUCUCUCUCUCUCUCUCUCACACACACACACAGAGAGAGAGAGAGAGAGAGAGAGAGAGAGAGAGAGACCCAACUUUCCAG